UAGACUUUGCCAGUGCAGAAGACGACACCUUUCCUGGCUUUUGGGAUGUAGGGCCAUCAUCUAGAAUUACUCUUUGGAAUUUUGUACCUGCAAUAGAGAUAUGAACUUUUGAGGUCCUUUGUACCUGUUAUCAUCUCAUCAAAAACUACAGUGGGCCAUGUUGCUGAAUAUGAAAAUAUGGUGAAUGAACAGCUAGAUGGGAGGAACCAGAUGCUUCAGUGGUGGGUGACUUCAAUGAGAUAGAGAUGUGGGAGUAUGUGGAGGACAGACGGAAGGGAGGAGAGGACGGAUUUCCAAGGCUGUGUGUUUGUGUUAACCUGUGAUGAUGAGGCACUCGUUGUGGUCCAGAGCUUCAGUGAAGAGGCGUGAUAUGAUGAGCUCAGGGUUGAUGAGGAAGCGAAUCUCCUCCUGGACCAACCCCAGACCUGUCACCCCUCCACCCACCAUCCUGUUCGCGAAGUCCACCUGCAGCACACAAACACAGAGAAACACACAUUCAUCAGCAUAAAACAGCCCUGCACAGUGGGUCUAAAGGUGGAAAACAUCUUUACAAUUUCACCCUUGAACAUGAAUUGAAAUUACGUUAUGGUAGAGAUCGACGACACUUGUGUGAGGAUUCUAACAGUCUUGACUUGUAAGCCAUGUUGUUUGUUUGGUAUGUCACCAGAGAUGACACGUUUUGGUAAAAGACGGGGCAGGUGUGCGCCUAACUGAAUUUGAGCAAAUAGCAGGAGAUCUUUAAAUUGUGCAAUUUUUGGUACAUGUACAGGUAGGGUACAAAAAAUGUCUGCCUCGUGUGCCUGACAAAGAUGUUGCAUGUUCUUAUGGUUUAAAUCUCCCACAUCUCUUACAUCAGCGGGCACAGCCUUGUUUGUACAAUUUGACUUAAAUUACAUUAGCCAAAGCUAAUUUGAGCUAAUUGUAUUUGGCAUCGUGUGUACAGAGAAAAAUAUGUGCAUUUAUUCUUUGAGCAGGUGGAAAUGUUUUCUGUCUUAGCAUGUUAAUAAAAUCUCACAGCCUACAUUGACACGCAGGACUCAUGGUUUGUGUCUACUUUGACACUUUGGGUUAGACUCUCAAGGCCAAACACUGCUCCGCCAGUACUGAAUAAUGGAUAUGUUAAGGAUUAUCCAUUAGCUACAGAGGUCAGUUGAAAACAAAUGAGUGUGUUCAUGGCUUCCCGGUUGACCGAUUAUGCCGUGAUCUUAUCAAAUUAUUUUUUGCAAAACCACAUAUUUAUAUAUAAGACAUUAUAUAAUUUACUUCAUAUUGCAUUAUGCAGUAUAAUAAAUAUGUUAUGCUUUAAUACAUGCAAACUUAAUUUAAAAUUAGUAAAAUUUGUUAACUUCUAGACUUUGACUAUUAAAACCCCCGAUUUCCAUUGAA